GACGAACCGUGCGAACGUUGUUCGGAAUCACUGGGCUUAAAGGGCGCGUAGGCGGGUGGCCAAGUCGGUGGUGAAAUCCUCCAGCUCAACUGGAGAAUUGCCUUCGAUACUGGUUGUCUUGAGGGGGGUAGGGGCAGACGGAACUUCCGGUGGAGCGGUGAAAUGCGUAGAUAUCUGGAGGAACACCGGUGGCGAAGGCGGCAUCCUGGACCGGUAUUGACGCUGAGGAGCGAAAGCCAGGGGAGCAAACGGG
rnacentral:rRNA from 1 species